GCCGGUGUGGCGGAACAGGUAGACGCCCGAGACUUAAAAUCUCGUGGGAGUUUCUCCCGUACCGGUUCGAUCCCGGUCACCGGCACCA
rnacentral:tRNA from 1 species